CGUACGCACUGGCCCAACUGAUCGAUGGUGCUUGCACCUGAUUGACGUUGGAUCACCAGUGAGUGGCGGACGGGUGAGUAACACGUAGGUAACCUGCCCCGGAGCGGGGGAUAACAUUUGGAAACAGAUGCUAAUACCGCAUAACAACAAAAGCCACAUGACUUUUGUUUGAAAGAUGGCUUUAGCUAUCACUCUGGGAUGGACCUGCGGUGCAUUAGCUAGUUGGUAAGGUAACGGCUUACCAAGGCGAUGAUGCAUAGCCGAGUUGAGAGACUGAUCGGCCACAAUGGAACUGAGACACGGUCCAUACUCCUACGGGAGGCAGCAGUAGGGAAUCUUCCACAAUGGGCGCAAGCCUGAUGGAGCAACACCGCGUGAGUGAAGAAGGGUUUCGGCUCGUAAAGCUCUGUUGUUGGAGAAGAACGUGCGUGAGAGUAACUGUUCACGCAGUGACGGUAUCCAACCAGAAAGUCACGGCUAACUACGUGCCAGCAGCCGCGGUAAUACGUAGGUGGCAAGCGUUAUCCGGAUUUAUUGGGCGUAAAGCGAGCGCAGGCGGUUGCUUAGGUCUGAUGUGAAAGCCUUUGGCUUAACCGAAAAAGUGCAUCGGAAACCGGGCGACUUGAGUGCAGAAGAAGACAGUGGAACUCCAUGUGUAGCGGUGGAAUGCGUAGGAUAUAUGGAAGAACCCCAUUGGCCAAAGGCGGCUGUUCUGGUCUGCCAACUGACGCUGAGGCUCGAAAGCAUGGGUAGCGAACAGGAUUAGAUACCCUGGUAGUCCAUGCCGUAAACGAUGAGUGCUAGGUGUUGGAGGGUUUCCGCCCUUCAGUGCCGGAGCUAACGCAUUAAGCACUCCGCCUGGGGAGUACGACCGCAAGGUUGAAACUCAAAGGAAUUGACGGGGGCCCGCACAAGCGGUGGAGCAUGUGGUUUAAUUCGAAGCUACGCGAAGAACCUUACCAGGUCUUGACAUCUUGCGCUAACCUUAGAGAUAAGGCGUUCCCUUCGGGGACGCAAUGACAGGUGGUGCAUGGUCGUCGUCAGCUCGUGUCGUGAGAUGUUGGGUUAAGUCCCGCAACGAGCGCAACCCUUGUUACUAGUUGCCAGCAUUAAGUUGGGCACUCUAGUGAGACUGCCGGUGACAAACCGGAGGAAGGUGGGGACGACGUCAGAUCAUCAUGCCCCUUAUGACCUGGGCUACACACGUGCUACAAUGGACGGUACAACGAGUUGCAAACUCGCGAGAGCAAGCUAAUCUCUUAAAGCCGUUCUCAGUUCGGACUGUAGGCUGCAACUCGCCUACACGAAGUCGGAAUCGCUAGU
rnacentral:rRNA from 1 species